rnacentral:misc_RNA from 1 species
CGCAGCCGCGGUAAUUCCAGCUCCAAUAGCGUAUAUUAAAGUUGUUGCAGUUAAAAAGCUCGUAGUUGAAUUUCGGGAUUGACACAUCGGUCGUGCCUUAAGGGGUAUGAACUGGUGUAGUCAAUUUCUCACCUUCUGGAGAACCGCGAUGCCCUUAAUUGGGUGUCGCGGGGAACCAGGACCUUUACUUUGAAAAAAUUAGAGUGUUUAAAGCAGGCAUUUUGCUUGAAUACAUUAGCAUGGAAUAAUAAAAUAGGACGGCAUGAUUCUAUUUUGUUGGUUUCUAGGAUCACCGUAAUGAUUAAUAGGGAUAGUUGGGGGCAUUAGUAUUCAAUUGUCAGAGGUGAAAUUCUUGGAUUUAUUGAAGACUAACUACUGCGAAAGCAUUUGCCAAGGAUGUUUUCAUUAAUCAAGAACGAAAGUUAGGGGAUCGAAGACGAUCAGAUACCGUCGUAGUCUUAACCAUAAACUAUGCCGACUAGGAAUCAGACGAUGUUAAUUUUUUAAUGACUCGUUUGGCACCUUACG